GAAAGUUUGGAAAGAUCAAUUCGGUGGAGAAGCACGAUUCAACAGGGAGGAGCUUCAAUCCGGUGAGCAGAAUUUCGAAAUCAGUUACGUUUCCUCAGAUGGCAUGACUCUCGUGUCCCCAGUUCCGCGCUGAUCUGUAGCUGUCUUGCCGGCGAUUUCGAAGGAGGGUAUGGAUCUGGGACCGUCGCUGCCGGACGACGUGCUCGCGGGCGUCCUCCGUCGCCUCGCGCCACGCGGCCUCGCCGCGUCCCGCUGCGUCUGCAAGGCGUGGCGACGUGUCGUCGACGACCACUGCCUGCUGCGCGCGGAUCUCCUGCCGCUCUCGCUGGGCGGCAUCUUCCUCAACUUGCAUGACCUACGUUUCACGCAGUUCCUCUCUCGCCCCACGACGGGCGCCGUAGUCUCCGGCCGGCUUGACUACACGGUGCCCGGUGAGCACGGCUUCAUGCCCCCCGUCUACGUCAGGGAUCACUGCAAUGGCCUCCUCUUGCUCGACCACUGCGUGGUGAACCCCGCCACACAGCAGUGGGCGCCCUUGCCCCCGCUCCCGCCAUUGCCCGACCCCCUCCACACGGAGCAGUACCUUCUGUUUGACCCCACCCUGUCACUCAAUUAUGACUUGUUGAUAGUGCCUGAUAUUCCUUCCGAGCUGAACGAUGAAUGUGAGGAAUCUGAAUGGCCGCCGUCCACCUUGAUACUACAUGUCUUUUCAUCAGAGGCUGGUUCUUGGGAGGAGAGGACAUUCGGACGGGAAGGGGAGGCUGCGGGGAUGUUAGCUGACAUGGUUGGGUCAAGACGACAUUUCUUCGACCGCCAAUGUGGUUUCUUCGUGCGUCAAUGUGGCUACUGGCGGGGAGAACUCUAUAUAUGCUGCGAGAACUGUUUUGUUAUGAGGUAGAUGUAUAUGCUAACUCCUUAAACAUUGUCAUUCUGGUUCUGGUUUUAAGCAUUAUGAUAAGAUUAUUUAUAAUUAUAUUAUUAUUGCAGAAUAUCACUUUCAAACAAUACGUAUCAAGCAAUUAGGAUGCCCACAGAAGAUGUAUUUUAUCUGGGAAAAUCAAUCAAUGGGAUAUACUGUGCAUCCAUAUUUCAGGGGUCACAACUUCAGGUUUGGUUCCUUAACGACCAAUGUGUUCAUGGUCAGACAGAGUGGGUGUUGAAGCAUGGCAGAGACAUCUUCCCCUUCCUGCCAAAUCUGAACUAUGACGAACAGUGUGAUGGUCCUUGGAUCUUACAAGAUUUUUACUAUUGCCGACAAGAAGAACAUAAUUCUUAUGGUGAAGCUUAUGAUGUGGUGUACAAAAACGAAGCAAUACUUGAAGAGAAAUUUGUGUGGGACUCUGACAAUGAUAAUGUUCUGGAACCAGGAAGUAGGUGCAAGGAUUCUUAUAUCUAUUUUCUUGGAUUUCAUCCGUACAAAGAGGUUGUCUUCUUGAGUGAUAAAUUCGACCGGGUGUUAGCCUAUAAUUGGAGUAGCUCAAGGGUUCAAGAUUUGGGCAAGGUUUUCCCAAAAUUCUAUAUAGACUGGAAUCUCCAUUUCCACCAUACACUGGUAGCAGCGUCUUUCCCAUACACUCCCUGCUGGUUGGGAGAGCUCCCUGAGAAACUGAAUUUAGAAGCUCAGCUGGAAGAUUAGAAUGUGUUCCCUUGCAAGCAAUUUGAAGAUCCUGUCUGUUCUUUUGAUAUUUGUGUACACACAUUGCUCCCUGCAAAACUAAAUUUAUAUAUCUCUAGUUUAAAUUAUCUUAUUUUCCUUGCCUCUGAGUACAACUGAUCUUAGUUUGUCUUUCUGCAUGGAUCACUGCUGAAUGAACUUGGUUUCUUUUUGGUUCAGCUAGGAUUGCCACUACUGGGGCCCUUGAGGCAUGGAUUCUAUUGGUGAGAGUUGAGCCAAACAGCAGAGGUCUGGGCUUGCUGGUGUUGUGCUAAAUCCAGUUGUGCAAGUCAGGCUUGUGACUGAACUAAGCUAGAAAUAGUAGUCAGUAUACCUGCCCUUAACAAAACUCUACUGUGAUUGAUUUUCUGCAAAGUGGGCUUGGUUCCCUGGUUUAGCUUGUAUGUUAGUUUGCUGAUAGGACAAAGUUCUGAAAACAAAAUUCCAUUGGUGGGAGUACAUAGAAAUAUCUCAGAUAAACAAAUUGAAAAAAGUCUACAUAACCCCCUCUCCUUGGCACCAUGAUUACUUUACCCUGUGAACUUUGAAACCGUCUAACGAGCACACUAAAGUUUCCCAAACUGUUUAAUUAAUCCCCUAGAGCGGUUUUGGUAGCUGGUUUUCCGUACGUGGCACUUCAACGUGGAAAGAGAGGACAUGGUGGCACUGGGCCCUUGAUUUCAGUCUCCUUCACCCCAAAUACGGAUAUGCCUUUGACCCGCUGACGUUCUGGUUCGUGUGAAUGCCUGCGCAGCGCAAGGCUUUGCCAACAUAGGAGCGUCCUGGUGCAAGAGCGGCGGCGGUGAGGCUCCAUUCCAGUGUGCCAGCAGCAAGGCGCGGGCAACAAAUGGCGAGAGAAGGACGGGGUUCCAGUUCAGCCACACAGUGGCGGACGGCCUCGACACAGCUCAAUGCAUAAACGCCACUAGUGGCAUGGUGCAUGGUCACGCGACACCGAUAGUUGCCUUGGCCUGGGGCCACGAGGCGAUCCCAAACCCUCCCGACGCACACCCACUUUGUUCCUAAUGUAGCUUCGACUUCGUUCCUAACGUAGCUUCGGCUACAAUACCUUGCUAUGGACAUCUCCAUGGACUACAUCGGGGCCUUUUUCUUUUUCUGUGUGCCAUUAUAAAAGAUGCUCCAUUCUCCUAUGCUAUUAAAAAGUUCGCUCGUCCCUGUGUGACCAGACACUAAUUUCUUUUGCCCUAUGUGCCAUUCCGUUGUCUUUUGCCUCUAACGGUGGAUAACGGCUGAACCAUUUGACACUGAUGCCCAUAGAAAAUGAAAACUUCCUCUGUGCCAUCUCACGGACUUCCUCUGGCGCCGCUCCGCACCCCGCGCUACAUCGCCGAGAUCCUGGCGGGCUUCCUCCUGGGGCCCUCCGUGCUGGGCCGCGUCCCGCACUUCUCCGACAUCGCCUUCCCCGUCCGCAGCAUCUUCAUCCUCGAGUCCAUGUCCCUCGUCGGCCUCGUCUACGACACCUUCACCAUCGGCGUCGAGAUCGAGCUCCACACCGUCCUCCGCUCGGGCUUCCGCAGCUUCUGGUUCGCCGCCGCCUCCGCGCUCCCGCCCUUCCUCGUCGGCGCCGUCACGGGCUACGUCGCGCUCUCAAGCGCCGGCGACGACGACGGCGGCGGCGGCGGGGGAGGAUCCACGACGGCGGCCGCCAAGCAGCAAUUCCUCAACCGCCUCUCCUUCCCCGUCUUCCUCGGCGCCACCUUCUGCUCCACCGCCUUCUCCGUGCUGGCGCGCAACAUCGCGGAGCUCAAGCUCGCCGGCACCGACGUGGGCCAACUCUCCAUCUCGGCGUCGCUCAUCAACGACACCUUCGCGUGGGCCGGGCUCACCGUCGCCACGGCGCUCGCGCACGUCCGCUACGGCAUGGGGCCCUGCCUCUGUACGCUCAUGUCGGGGUCCUCAUCGUCAGCGCCAGCUACCUCGUGGUCCGCCCCAUGCUCGUCCGCCUGGCGCGCCGCGUCGCCGAGGGCGAGGUCGUCACCGAGGCGCACGAGUGCUGGGUCCUCGUCGGCGUCCUGGUGGCGGUGCUGCUGAUGGUUCCGGCCGUAGAUCGCCCCGCGCGCGCGAGCGCCUCGCCGACCGCCGCCUCCCUGUAGCGGCCCACGCCGACGCCCUUGCGGCCGUGGCCGCGAUCGACGCCCCGUCGCUUGCCCCGGCCCAAUACCUUGCCAUGGACAUCUCCAUGGACUACAUCGAGCACUUCAAGGCCCGGUUCCUGGAGUAGACGGGCCACUGGUGCACCGCUUUCGAUGUGCUCAUUGGGAGUCCCUCACUCGCGCGGUGGGGUUCGCACAGGGCUUUCCGUGCAUAUGUGCUUCAACGGCAAUGGAACAUGGUGUCGUUGCGCGGCUGCUACACAGCUGCCAACGACGAUGACCAGAGCAAGAAGAUGUCCCUCGUGUACGACUACAUGCACUGAUGCACAAGGGCUCGUUGGACAAGUACAUCUUUGAGGACGGCCAAGGUCAAGGACUCUCUCUAUAUUAGACUCAUUGCGAUCUCUUCUAUUUCCCUCUUCUCAUCUGUACUAGUUGAGAUACAUGCUCUGCCCCCCUUCAUUUUAUUUCCUGUAUGUAUUGAUUUUUUUAUUUAUGCAUAAGGUUUGUGUCCUAGCAGAAAAAUAUCAGCAUGUCUUAAUGCACUGUGCUACUGCUGCAAUCUUUCAGUAUACAUAAGCGUGUGUCUAUGGUGAUGAUUGGUUUAUCUUAGACGGUCUCCAAUAACCUUUACCUAAAAUACAAGACCCAGCGCUACAGGCAAAAGGGUCUAUAUCCAUUUUUAGUCUUCUCCAACAACAAGACUCAAAAGAGAAUCCUUCCUGCAAAUGAGUCUCGAGGUUUCCUAAUACACAGAAUGAGUCUUUCAUAUAGAUACUUUGUUGGAUGCUAUAAGUAGUGUUUUGGAGACCCAUUUUGAUGGGUCUUUUGUUGGAGAUAGUCUUAUUCUAAGCAUAUACCAUCGCUGAUGAUGUACUUAUUCCAAUUUGAUAAUAUGAUGAUAUACCUGCGAGGUGCUUCCAAUAGUUCCGAUCAUAUUUUCAUGCCAUUGCUAUUUUCCUUUUUUUUCUUGACCAUAUGUUAAUGCCAAUGAUGCUAGAAACAAAUACAAGCCUGACCAUAUUUCCAUAUCGUUGCUAUUUUGCAUUUUUUUUCAACACAUGUCAAUGGUAAUGAUGCUGGAAACAAAAAUAUUUUCUCAACUACGGCAUAUGAAAAUGUGCAGUCAUGAUUGUCAGCCUUUUAUGAUCUUUUUAAAUUCUGAUUCUGAUUUUAGAGGAGGCAUUGCCAUAUGUUUUUGAAUUAGGGCAUUUGACAUAUGGAGUGAUACAAACUAUUGCAUAUAUGUGCUCCUUUUUGUAUUCUUAAUGAACUUAGGCAACUUGGAAUAUGCAAUGAUGGCUACUUUUUUCUGACAAUAAUCCAGUCUUCACUGUCUUCCUAUCUACGAGAAGAUGUUAUUCAAGCUUUAACUUCCUCAGGCCCGUCUCCUGAAGCACAAUAUUAUUAGCUGAUAGUCUAAUAUUGCAGCCACUGAUAUCUCCAAAUGAUUGAGACACCGGCGUUUUUUUAACUUCGUCUCAAUAGCGGUUUCAUGGCUUAUUAUUCAAGCUUUAACUUCCUCAGGCCUGUCUCCUGAACCACAAUAUUAUGUUGCAGUUGGAUUCUUGUUAUAAAAGAAAAGGCAUAAGUAUCAUACUCUUAGUGAUAUUCAUUUAUUUAUUUUUUAAGUGAUUAAUUUUAGCCUUCAUAAGCAAAAUGUUUAUAAUUAAGUUUGGGCUUUAUUUUAGUGGCUUUCAUAGUUGUAUUCUGACCAAAGUCAUUUACAACUAUUGAUUGUCAUGAUUCUAUUGUCCACUAAUAAGGCCUUGUUUGGUUCAGAGAGUUAAACUUUACCACCUAUCACAUCGAAUGUUUUGACAUAUGCAUAAAGUGUUAAAUGCAGACUAUUUGUGAAACUAAAAACACAACCAAAGAAUAAUUUGCGAGACAAAUAUUUUGAGCUUGAUUAGUCUAUGAUUGGACACUAAUUGCCAAAUAAAAUAAGGCCUAGUUUAGUUCCCAUUUUUUUAGUUUUGAGCACUGUAGCAUUUUUGUUUUUAUUUAAUAAUUAUUAUCUAAUCAUGAACUAACUAGGCUCAAAAGAUUCAUCUCGCGAUUUACAGGUAAACUGUGUAAUUAGUUUUUGUUUUCGACUAUAUUUAAUGCUUCAUGCAUAUGUCAUAAGAUUCGAUGUGAUGCGGAAUCUUGAAAUUUUUUUUAUUUUUGGGUAAACUAAACAAGGCCUAAAAAUGCUACAACAUCUGUUAAACUUUAACACCCCCAACCAAACAACCCCUAAGAUGUUUAUUGUCCUAAGUCAUAUUUAUAAGCCUUAUUAUUGGGCAUAAUGUAAAGUUUUAGAUAUUCCUAAAGAAGGCUAUAAGAAAUAUCUAAGAGCCCGUUUGGAUGUUGGUAUUGGGACUUAGAUUUAGCAUUAGAUCUUAUGUCAUUCGAUUCCAAUGUUUGGAUGGUCUUGGAAUUGUCUUAAGGAAUCAGCGCCGCGCAGGCCACGGGCGUGGGCACCGGUCACACCGCCACGCAGGUCACGAGGAUCCUGAUGCUGGCCUGCGUUGGGGAGGAGUAGCCGCCAGUGAAGCCGAACUGGAUGGGGCCGAGCACGACGAUGAGCGUGCAGAGGAAGGCUAAGAUAUGGGACUCACGCAGGACGACCAUGGAGGAGGUGUCAGCGGCGUUGGGGCUGGACGGGGGCCAUCCCUAUCCGGUACUAGCUCCCGCUAUUGGGCAGCACUCCAAGACGCCAUAGUGGUCGCUGUCAUUCUCAUACUCGUCGUUGAAUGCCUUGUUGCUUUUUUUCUCGAUCAGGCACAUAUAGGUCCGUGCUUUAUUAGGAGGAAAAGGGUGGUCAUAAGAUUUUGUUUAAACAAAUACAAGAUGUUGGCGAGGGGCCAGUGACUAAACUCCUAACUACUGGAAACAACAACUGAAAAAUUACAUGCUAAAACGAUGUUGCGACCAAGCACUAGCAAACACAACCAAAGGUCUAAACCCAGCCUCACGCCAAACGUCCGCCUUUGCCAUCAGGUCCUUGGCUACGGCGUUGACAGCGGACACCCGUCCACAGAAAACUCUAGAGUUCCUCUCUUUCCACAAGCUUCAAGAGACAAGCAGGACCAAGGAGUCAAAUGUCGGCCGGCCUUCAGCCUACAGUCAUUCACGGCUACACAGCCACCAGGCUGCGAGAUCCGGUUCUUCAGAAGCCGGCACCAAAGAAAGCAACCCCAGAGGCAAGAACAACAAGGACCAGAGUUGCCUGGCAAGCACACACCCAACAAAGAGGUGCCCACAUGAUUCCAUAGCCUGGGCACAUAGGUUGCAGUCGUCGGUAUCCUGGAAACCAUGACGCCGCCUACAUUCAUCUGUCCACAGCCUGCCUGCGGUGCAAGGCCAACCAGAAGAAAAGCUUGACCUUGGGUGGAGCCUUUGUCUUCCAACGUUCUUUGGCACCGAGAAGUGACGUCGAACCGACAAAAAAAGCUCUGUAAGUCAAUGAGGCCACGAAUUUGUCGUCCGGUGACCACUUCCACACAAAUUGAUUAGCUUGCAGAGGGUUGAGAUUCACGGUGUGAAACACCCGCCACACGGAUAGGUACUGUCGCCCUGUUGCUCACCAUGGCGUCGUGCGUGCUCGCCACUCCGCUCACAAGGAGAUUUGAUUUGUUUCCUUUUCCUGGCCUAUGGGUGGGACUUUGGGAGGAGGAGGAGGAGGAUGCGAAUGCCAGGAGACGAGCGAUGGAGGAGGCCGGUAGUGGCAGCUUGCUCCUAGGCGUGCUCGGCAGCGUCGUGGUCGUAGCAUGCGUCGGCCACCCGGUGCAGCGAAACAAAUAGGCCCAAAGAAUGCAACGACGGUGUGAUGUGGAAGUGAUCGAGCUAAACUAGUACCACGAGGCUAUGUCUAUGGUCUACGUAUGUUGCAGUGACUGACGGUGUCGUGUCCUGGAUUCGUGUGGUGUGAUUGGCGGAAAGGACGUGGGUUUUGUGGGCGUGCACACUGGCUGAGCUAGAAACCUGUUUCGUCCACCGACCCCCCACAAGCAAUGCUAGUGUGUAUUUCUCGAGCGGUUGGUGUAUAUGUAUAGCCUUAUAGAGUGACGGUUUACUUUCAUUACAAACAAACAAAAAUGCAUCUUAUACAUUUGUUGGCCCAAAUUGAGUCGUCAUAGAUUGACAUUUCAGUUUGUCAUGGAUUAGUUGUCUGUCUAUUAUACUCAGGCCAUAUUCAAGCCCACAUCCAAACCACGGUGUCAAAAAAGAACAUCAUAAAUUAGUGUGAAAUCAUCAUUGCAUUAACAUGCAACAUAUCUCAUAAUACACUAAUGAGAAAAUUUCCUAUUUGACACCUAAAAAAUGAUGUUUUCCCAUGUGACACCGAAACCGAAAAUUCUUUCCUAUAUAUCCUCCACUCGAGUUUUUCUUUCCUAUUUAACAUUUUCAUUAGUUUUGUGACCAGCCACCGUUAGUUGUCCAAGUGAGGCAAUGGGAAAAGACCGUUAUGCCCUUUGAGGAAAGCAAAUGAACUCGAUCAUCUCUAGAGUCACGGUUGUUCGUCCUCUCGAGUCGCGCUCCAAUGGAGCCUUCCUCCCUGUAACUCUAGAUUGAGGCGAGCGGCCAUGGAGGAGGGCGGCGCGGCCAAGCAGGCAGUCGUCAUGGAUUUAGAGGCAGGAGCCGUGGCCUCGUAGCUGGCCGUCGCGAUCACGGUGCCAGCCUCGCAGGUGUCCGACGCGGCCAUGGGGGGCGGGCGCCGCGGCCCCGGACUCGGGGCCAGCUGUCAUGGACAAGGGGGCGGCCAAGGCAUGUGCAAGCAGGGCCGACACGCCCAGGACACCGCACCAAUUCAUAGAAGGUCGUCGCGCCUGCAAGCUCCAACCCUGGCCGCGCCGCCACGGGAGAUGCCGCAGGGCCGGCCGCGCCUGACCACGGACGCAGCGCUGCCCUCGCAAACCAAGCGUCUGUUGCUGGCGGUCGUGCUCUGCCUUGUUUCGUUCGUGCUGUCACAGACUCCCCUCGCGCCCACGAGUUAUGCUCUGUUUUGCCCGUGCUCCUUUGCUAUGGCCAUUUUGCUUUAGAUAAAUAAUCUCACAAAUUCAUUAAUAUUAUAUAGGAAUAAUACACAUAUACGUGUCUCACACCAGCAGCAAAACUGAGCCAUCCGUCUCGUCAUCUACGGCUGAGAUUAAAAGAAUUGAUAUUAAACUGAAUAUAAUUAUAAGUAGAUGUAUAAGAUGAUGUUCGUUCUUUUAUUUAUUUUUAUUUUACAGAAGCAAAAAAAACAUAGCAUUUCGAGAUAAAAACAUUCAAAAAAAAGAUAGCAUUGUCAACCAUGGAAUGUCAUUACUUGUAAAAAAACCUCCAAGGGUAAAACUGACUCUUCUCAUAGGACUUAACACUGUUAGCUGCUCAAACUAACAGAAAUGUUAAAUAGGAAAGAAAAACUCGAGUGGAGGACAUAUAGAAAGAAUUUUGGUUUCGGUGUUAGGUAGGAAAGCGGCAUUAUUUUCAGUGUCAAAUAGGAAAUUUUCUCUACACUAAUCAUACAAACAAGCAUUGAUUCUUUCAUUUAUUGGCAUGUCCACUAUUGUCACAUAUAGUUUGAGAACAAUCAAUUCAUAGCCAAACUAACAAUGUAUGUCUGAACUAAGAUUUUAUCUCUAGUAAGUCUAAAAUAAACAGACACUAGUAUAUAUGAUUCCACGAGUAAUUCAAUUGGCUUGCUAUCCAUUUGAUGUGCUACCAAGCACCUCCAGAAGCUGCUUAAAAAAAACAUCUCUAGAAGCUUCCUGAAAAAUAAUAUGAAUAUGAAAUGAGUUAGUUUUGAGUAGAGAUUCUAAAAAUAAAUGCCAUCUAUUUAUUAGAAGAUCAGAUGCAUACUAGAGCCGGUGGCUGGACAUAUAGAUAGAAGUACUUUGUUCCCAUCAUUACUGCAUCUAAGAAAGAUGCUUUGAUCAGCAAACCAAAAGAUACAGAGAAAUAGAAAAAUAAAAUUAGAAAACUGACAUCCAUUAGCACUUUGAUCAGUUUAUUGUCAACAAGAUAGUAACAAGCACCUCCCAGAAGCAUAGAAAAAAUGAUUUCCCAAGAAGCAUUGUGCUUGGUUUCAGAUCCUAGGAAUUAAUAUCGUGUCUGAACAAAAUGCCUAAAAUACUUCAACUAAUGAUGAAAGAAAACACUACAGCACGAACCUGCAAUGCCAAUGUUAGCGCUUAAACUCCUGAGAUUGUAUUGGUGGUGGAUGGAAGGUCUAGGCUUGAACACGCGGCGACAAACUGGCGGCGCCGUGCUCGGCGCCUAGGGUUCCAGCCGUGGAGCACAAGAAGGUGGCGAAGAAGAUAGAACAAGGCUGGGCGCCCAAGGGAGAUAAUAAUAUCUCAAUCCCAGGCUAAUCCGUAUUCCUUCCAAACUGUUUAACUUGUACAAGACUUAAUAACCAAACUCCUAAUCUUUAGGGACUCAACCAAGAGUCCAACUAGAUAUGCCUAACAAACUGCCCUACGCCAUGGCUACUGUAGCGCGGGCACUGUUCAUGCCUUCAGUCACUCUUCAGCCACUAGCUAGCCUUGUUGCGACGACUAUACUUGUUGUCCACCACAACAGGGCACUGUUCACGCCUUCAGCCACUAGCCUUGUUACGAUGACUAUACUUGUUGCCCACCAUAACAGCCAACAUAGUCCUAUCGUGAAUGACAUACCUUGUAAGUUGGUACUCAGCAUUCAGAAGUGCCAUGUAGGUCAUUGUUUACGGCCAUGUACAUGCAUGAUCAAAUCUGCUAUUGGGUGAUACAACGUUUUGUAUAUGAAGACAAGAACAAUGCUAUAUGCUCUUCUGUUUAGCUUUUGAGUAAGCUUUUGGGUAAAAAAAUAUUUCAGUUUAGAGUAAAAUAUAUGUAGGAUUUAACAAUGAAUUAGUAACCUGGACCAGAAGAGAUCUAAUAUGUUUAGUAUGUGGACAUGUGAUCUAUAUGACUGACAAUUCAGCAAACUCCGAUUUUGAAUAUAUUCAGUAUAUGGGCAUGUGUUCUGCGCAGCUUCAUACGUGGUUUGCUACUAUACAGUGGCUCUUGAUUUAUUUUUAUUUUUAUUUUUAUUUUCAUUCGUUUGAGUAAAAGGUGAGAUGAAGAAAGGAGGGGAAAAAGAUCGUCCCUAAUCCUACCGUUCCUCAUUCUGCAUAUCUUGCAGUGUGAAUGCCCACAGCCACGAUCUGUGUCCGAGGCGGUUGUGCAUGACGAUUUGAGUCUGCAGGAGAAAUGAUCCGAAUCCCUUACCACGCACACGAGGCAAAUCAGCUUUUACCGUGCGCCACGUUAUUCACAUCUUUUGCCCUACGGGCCAGAAGUGGUCGUUGAGAGCCAGCCAACCAAAGCCGCACCGGUUCGUUGAUACCGUACGUGUCCACGACAUCCUGAUCGGUUGGCAUGUGGAACCGGAAGAUACUCCCAAAACAGAAACCACUAUAAUUUAUAAUUUAUAUGUCACUUAAGUAUUUUAGUGAUAUGACAAAAUAGUUAUUAAAGAGAGAGAAAAAUCAUAAAAACCGGAUUUAAAUUAGAAACAAUAUUUACACGAAAAUCAAGACAUGAAAGAAUGUGAUUCGUAGAGAUUAGAGAGAGAAUAUAUGUGAUUAGAUAAAAAAUUGUUCCUUAAAAACUAUCUACUGAGAUUAUGGUUAUAUAUAAAACAGGUAAGUUCUUUAAUCCGUUAGCUCCAGGGGUCCACUGGUCGAGCGAUCUCGUUCAUUCCUAGGAGGAGAGAGUAACUACUCAAAUAUACUCUCUCCGUCCACGAAAGAGUCAAUUUCUAGAGUUGUACUAAGUCAAACUUUUUAAACUUUGACCAAAUUUCUAAAAAAAAAUGCUAAGAUUUAUAGUAUCAAAUUAGUAUUAUUAGAUUCAUCAUAGAAUAUAUUUUCAUAUAAUAUGUAUUUUAUAUUAUAGAUGUUAUUACUCUUUUCUAUAAAGUUAGUCAAACUUUAAAAAGUUUGACUUUCACGGAUCCUAAGAAUUGAUUCUUUCGGAGACGGAAGGAGUAUAUAUAUAUAUAUAUAUAUAUAUAAUCUAUAGGAAUUAACAAUAGUUUCUAGCGUUACAACUGUCCUUACGCUCUUCGUCCUAGUCCCACCAUCAAAAGGUGUGAACACUCUCCGCCCACGCAUUAAUAGACAAACCAAAGGUACAAGAGAUAUAGAGCAUAUUCGCUUGUGUGAAAAACCAACUAAAUAGCUGGCAGAUAAGCUGAAGUCAACGUAACCUUAGAAAGUGGCCAGGGCCACCUGCAUGCCAUGAAAUGUACGUACGCUUCUGCCGGUGCGGCCGUCCGGGGCUUGCCGAGCCGAGUAGUCAAAUCUGCCAACCAUAUGAUGCUAAUUCUGCAAAACUGACGUCGCUAAUUCUUCAAGAGAUGAUGCUGUUUCUGCAAAACUGACCAAACGUGCUGUGAGUGGCAAUGCUGGGUCUUGUUUAGUUCCAAAAAAUUUUGCAAAAUAGAAAUAGUGCCACUUUCGUUUGUAUUUGACAAAUAUUAUCCAAACAUGUACUAACUAGACUCAAAAGAUUCAUCUCGUCAAUUUCGGCCAAACUGUGCAAUUAGUUUUUAUUUUUAUCUAUAUUUAAUACUUCAUGCAUGCGUCUAAAGAUUUGAUGUGACGGGAAAUCUGAAAAAUUUUGCAAAAUUUUCUGAGAACUAAACAUCACCCCCAAAUCCCAAAACAGUUUUACUCUUGUUGCGUAUGAGCAAUUUAUUACCAGCUCAAGCGGUUGGUGCAGGAAGAAGGAGAGCGGGCGAUAAAAUGAACCAGGCAAGUCCUAACCUCCAUAAACAAUUGGGGGCAAUGCCAACCGCGGGCGGUUGUAUUGUGAUGUUUUGGAGGAACAGGCAGGUAUCAGUCACUCUCUAUCAGCUCAGAACUACUAUCCUCCUCGGAGCCACUGCCAUUGCUUUUGUGUUGCACGCUUCAUGGUGGUGCACCCUGCAUGAUUCGAGUAUAAAUAGCCCUACCAGGCUUGCUAGUUGCUACCAGAGCCUUUCACCAGAGAUCAGAGACAGAGAGACAGAGAGAGAUGGUGAUGAUGAUGAUGCGCGGCCCGAUCCUUCUCCUUCUGCUCGUCGGAGUUGGAGUGUGUGUGUUCGCUGAUGCCAAGACCACCACGUAAGUCACAGUGUGCUCUCAUCUUCAAUUGGAUGGUACUUCCCCUAUAUUCUCUCAUUCAUACAUAUAAAUGAAACGAAACCAAACCAAAUUGUAUCCACCCAUUCAUCUAGAUUAGAUGGAGAGUAAUCUCUUUAAAAAAUGUGAUUGUUAUUCAUGUUGUCACCUUAGCAGGGGCAGAUGUAGUGUAGGUGCAUGGGGGUACAACUGUACCCCCAAAAUUUUUAUACAAAUACUUGGUAUGUAUACUUUUAUAUUAUUAUUAUUAUAUUAUAUAUAUAUUUAGAAUAGUUUAGCAAAUAGCAAUCUCGCAAGUUUAAGUGCUUAUCUGAGAGAGUAACUGAGCAAACGACCUGCAACCCUAUAAUAGCACUCUUCUUUCCGAAGCCUCGGAAGCAAAAAAUGAACCAAAGAACAUAGCACAAGUACAAAAUAAAAAUGACAGAAGUUAUAAAAGAUAGAUAUAUAAACUCUUUUUUCCUUCCAAAGCAUGGUAUUACAAUUUUAAUUUGUGAAGUUUGAAUAGUAAUCAUGUUUAACAAUCAGACAUUUUUUUGGAAAAAAAAAUGUGUGUAGAUUACGCGAUAAAUAAGUAGUUUUUACUUUUAUAGAACAUCAUGGCAUUAGGAGCAAUAAUGAGCUAGAUUUUUAGUGAACUACUCGAUAAAGCACAAUAGAUAUCUUCAUCCAUUCUGAAUCUGCAAGAAACUCAUAAUCUUAUCAAGAACAUGGCAAUGAUCAUCUUUGUAUAAUUAUGUAGGAAAGUUGGUGAAUUGUAUCUUUAGAUUCGUACACCUAAUGAUUUUAUCAUCAUUCUGACGUCGUAUAUAUGAUUAUCAAAUUGCAUCGCUUAGUUCGUACCCCUACGAUUAAAAUCCUAGAUCCGCCAUUGCACCUUAGCUGUCUUUUUCCCCUAUAAAGUUUGUCAUGUACUAAUGCAGUAGACUAUUGACAAGUGUUUAUGAUAUGGGCUGCAUCUCUCCGUAUGGGCUGUAAUCACUUAGACGUAUGGGCCUUGGGCAGAUCCAUUUUACUCUGCAUGUAACGAACUCGUAACGUUGGAUUUCAGGACGGAGGUCUGGCAGUGGCAGGACGACAAGGCAACAGUGACCAUGACGUUGGACGUCACUCUCGGCGUUCAACACUUCAAGGCCACCAUGUCCCAGCUCGAGCGCCAAGCGGCGCUCACGACCACCAAGCCCCAUAUCGAAAAGAGACCCGUCCUGGGCAAACAGAAGGCGAGGCCGGACAACUGGGCCCACGUUACCGUCAAGGGUAAUGGCGGGAUCCAGUCAACCUUGGCCAUACGGCUGGAUAAUAUGUAUCUCGUCGGAUUCAAAACCGGCGCCAAUUGGUAUGCCUUCGACGGUAAGGAAAAUCUCAUCCAAGGAUCCACUAAGCUCGGCUUCGGGGAUACAUACAAGUCAUUGACAGGGGGCUCGUACCUCGACCUGACAAGGGUUGAGGUUGGGAAGAAACCCGCUGAGGACGCGCUUGCCACUCUGGCGAGUUACCAUCAUGGAUCCACUCCACAGAAAGAAGUUAAGAAGGCGCUCGUCACCUUUGUGCUCAUGCUUUGCGAAGGCUCUCGCUUGACGCUCGUCCGUCAGGACGUUAUUGCGGCUUGGGAUAAGGGGGGCAAGGUUGGCACAACAGCCGUGAAGCUCACGACGAACUGGCGUAUCGUGUCUUGCGCCUUGCUCCACUGGAGCAAGUCCAAGAAAUGGAAUUCGGCUGAAUCCAAGGAAAUUGAGAAGGUCGGGGAUCCAGAGAUGAAGACCCCCGCGGCGGCGGCCGCCAAUAUCUACCUUAUACUACAGGCAGAGGAGUGCUCACCGGAUGCCACCCCCACUGAAAAAGAGCCCCAAGUGUACUAGGCCUAACAAUAAAACAUCUACGGCCUCCUAUAGUCUUAUAUAUACAGUGAAAUUCCAUUCCUAAGGCACUGCAGUGAAAAAGCAUAUGUACAACUGAUUGAUUCAAGUUUUAGCGGAAUGAGAUUUGGGUGUGCUUCCUGGUGCUUGGGUUCUCUGUUUUUAUUUUCUUUUUCUUUUUUUUGCUGAAGAAAAAACCAAAUCCAAAACCCUAGCAUAAGAAAUUACACAAAUUCCAUCAGAAUCCCCAACCCUAUGAUUAAGAAAAGGGCCUAGUGCUCAGCUCACCUAAGACGACGUCGUUGGGCUACUGCGUGAGCUCGCCGACGGAAGCAAAAGGGAGCCGUGCCGCCGCAUUGCCUGUCCAAGCGCGGUCCCCGCCCUAAGGGCGCCGGCGAACAGCGGCCAUGCGCGUGCUCGCCGCCGGCGCAUCAGGAAGCGCGCGGCCUGAAAAGAGCGCCACGGCGGUGCCACUCGACGGUGACGCGUGCAGCUUCGGCUGCGCGCGCGCGCCGGCGAGGGGUGCCACUGCAGCGCCGCCAUCUCCCUCCGUCGCGCGCGCUCGCUGCUCGCCUGAGGGUGGUCGGUGCGUGAAAAAGCGGAAAAGGAAGGGAAGAGAAUAAAAUGAGGUUUGCGUCGGCUGCUGGUUUUGUUACGAUGGGAAUUAUCCGCAGCCGUCCGAUCAGAUCCGGCGGCCAGGGGCAUUCGUGGCCUCAGCUGGGCCGGCGGGGGGAGAAGUGGCCCGAAAGCCGAAGGGGCUUCCCCGGCCAAGGCCCAGGUUGGGCUUUUGCCAGACCAGGCCGCUGCCCACUAAAGAUACGAGGGCCAAAAACUAAAGUUAAGACAAUUAAGUUUUUCUAUUUCAGUGCCUUUCAAUAAGCUUUCUCAUUUUAUUUAAGUUGCACCGUUUAAGUCUCAGUAUUAGCAAAAGUUUAUAAGUAAAUUCGCUGCGAAAUUAAGAUGCAUUCUUUGGUUAGAUUGAUACCAACGGGAAAAAUCCUAAUACGAGAAUUGCUUAUUUAAGUAUAUGACGACAGUGGUUAAGUUAUAGUUAGACUAAGUUUAAUUAUAAAGUGGAUUUCUUUAAGCUUUCUCCUUGAGUAUAUGUAAAUAAGUUCUAAGUAUAAUAAAUAUUCCUGCCAUAAGUUAAAUUUUUUUUCUCUAAUUAAGUUGGAACCAGCAGGAAAUUUUAGUUGCAGAAAAUAAAAUUCAUAAACUAAGCAUAAAUAAUGGGCUAGACUAAGUUAUAAAAGAAAAGGCAUAAGUAUCACACUCUUACUGAUACUCAUUUAUUUAUUUUUUGUAAGUGAUUAAGUUUAGCCUUCAUAAGAAAAAUGUUUAUAAUUAAGUUUGGGCUUUAUUUUAGCGGCUUUCAUAGUUGUAUUCCGACCAAAGUCAUUUACAGCUAUUGAUUGUCACGAUUCUAUUGCCCACUAAUAAGAUGGUUUUUUUUUUCUAAGUCAUAUUUAUAAGGCUCAUUCUCGGGCAUAAUCUAAAAUUUUAAACAUUCCUAAAGAAAUACUAUAAAGCCUUGUUUAGUUCGUGAAGCAAAAAAAUUCGUGACACUGUAGCACUUUCGUUUGUUUGUGGUAAUUAUUGUCCAACCAUGGUCUAACUAGAAUUAAAAGAUUCGUCUCGUCAAUUUUGACCAAACUAUGCAAUUAAUUUUUAUUUUUAUCUAUAUUUAAUACUCCAUGCGUGCAUCUAAAGAUUUGAUGUGAUAGGAAAUCUUGAAAAAUUUUGGGUUCUUGAGUGGAAGUAAAUAAGGCCUAAGACUGGCCAUAGUGUAUCCGUUGCUAGAAAAAGAUCUCCAGGUGCCACUUCAUCUAAAAGCCAAAAUCCACGCAUUGCCACAAUGUCGGCAUCGAGGCUUGAAGGGUACGUAGAGCUGAAUGGUCAGAAAUAUGUGUUAUAACGAUACACUUUCCUUGCGCUUGGAAAUUACUACUUUUUUUAUUUGGUCAAGCCGAGGCAGCUACUUGAUCCGAUGCCUAGAUUUUUGAAGUGAGCAUCUACAACUGCAAUGGUGUGAACCGAUGCUUGAACUCCAUUUCUCUCAUUUCACCAUCGAUCUUUCAUCACAUUGUGGCUUAGGCCUUGUUUAGUUUCUAAAAUUUUUUAAGAUUUCUCGUCACAUCAAAUCUUGCGGCACAUGCAUGGAGUAUUAAAUAGAGAUAAAAAAGAUAACUAAUUGCACAGUUUACUUGUAAUUUACGAGACGAAUCUUUUGAAUCUAGUUAGUCCAUGAUUAAACAAUAAUUAUCAAAUAAAAACGAAAGUGCUACAGUAGCGAAACCCAAAAUUUUUCGCGAACUAAACAAGCCUAAGUGCCCGUUUAUAUAUUAUAUAAAAAGAAGCAUCUGGAUACAGGUCAAGUAAAGUAGAAACAUUUUUUGUUAAAAAAAAGGAGAAACAUUUUUUUUUUGGCCUUUACUUCUUUUAAAAGUGCCAUGCAUCGCAGGGAGCUCAGAGCAUCUUGGAGCUGAAAAUAUCAAACUGCGGGCACCUUCUUUCAAGCAGUGCUGAACAUUCCCUGAAUAAGAGGAGACAAAGAUUGGCAAUGGUUACCAAUCUGUAUUAAGUUUAUCAUAACUAUUUCAUCUAUAUAUCAUUUAUUACAAGUACUUCUGAUGUCGAUGUUGAAUGAUACUUAUGGGGGUGUUUAGGACUGCUACACAAACUCUGCUCUAUAAACUCCACUGUGGAGUAACUCAAAAAAACUGGAGUUUGUGGAGUACCUCUUUAGGUGCUCUUACAACUUCACCCUUUUUUCAUGAACUGAGUACGUGGAGCUGAAACCGUUUGGCUAAAGAACGUGGAGCGAAGCUGGAAAAACUUAGAACAGAUCAGUUCCAAAUACCUCCUUAAAGCGUUUAUACUCCUUAUUAAUCUUAGUUGGCCACACAAGUAGUAGCAGGAAGGUAAAGUAAGGACCAAUUUACUGGCGAAGGCACUCAAUCUGAUCCAUAUUGUUAAGGUCACAGAUGAUGGAGUAAAUUACAAAUUUUAAGAAUAUAAUAACAUCUAUAGGACCUAAAGGCAAAACCAUAAAAUAGACCAAGUAGAGAUACUUUACAUGUACCUUCGAUCUCCAGGUUCCUUAGUUGAUUACUAAGGCCUUGUUUAGAUGCGAAUUUUUUUUAUUUCGCUACUGUAGCACUUUCGUUUGUUUGUGGUAAAUAUUGUCCAAUUAUAGACUAACAAGGGUCAAAAAUUCCUCUCGUGAUUUACAGACAAACUGUGUAAUUAGUUUUUGUUUUUGUCUAUAUUUAAUGUUUCAUAUAUGUGCCGUAAGAUUUGAUGUGACAAAAAAUUUUAAAUUUUUUUUGGUUUUUUGGGUGAAUUAAACAAGGCCUAAAAAGUAUGUUAAUUCAGUCAAAUAACAAAGGAACAUAUAUGCUCAGAAAGUCGUGGGUAGAACGACAACAUCAUCCAAGAUGAGAAGGCUUCCCGCGGAUGAGAGGUCAGCGAGUACGUACGUAGGAGGCCUCCCACGCAAGGGGAUGUGCUUCGCCGGUGGGCUACAGGCUGCAGCCCUUCCGUGCCGUCGUCGCGGUCCGGUGGCCGUGCUUGCAUCGCCUCGCUGGUGCGCCGCGUCCGUAUAACAAGCCGUUACGAGACGCAAUGUCCGCGUGACCGCAGAGGUGCCGACGCGUCGUCGACCGAGGUGGCGGGGUGCCGUGUAGCAGAGCAGGACUGCCCGCCGGGCGUCUUGGGCAGAAGAUAAUCUGAGAAGCCGUCGGCCCGUCGCCCUCCCUCUCAACUCCGCUCCUCUCUCUGUUCCCAACUUCCCAUCGCCGCAUUCUUCGCCUCCCACCACAGCAGCUUGAGCUCCUCACCACCGCCCCUCCCUCCACUUCCACCGCUGUCCUUGCCCUCCUCGUUACCGUCAGGGUGGACGCAUCCUGGAUCUGGCGAGCGCGUCUUCCUUGCGCACUUGAUGACCGGCGUCGGCGCCCUCCAAGCAGCUCCGAUUUGACGAGACCGUCGACGCCGGUCGAACCAAGACGGAGACAGGCCAUCAAUACCCAGUAGAAUAGCAAGGCUGGGCGGCUGGCGGCGUCCAGGUUUCCAGAGUUCCAGCUGAGGGGGAGAUAGACCGGCGCGGCAGCCGAGUCGGACGGAGCUCGGCUGUCCGGAGAAGCGCACGCACGACGGGGCACGCCAGGGAUCUGCAGCCGCGGUCUCUCAUACCAGUGAUCAGGCUUAAUCUGGGUGGGGAAAGUUUGGAAAGAUCAAUUCGGUGAAGAAGCACGAUUCAACAGGGAGGAGCUUCAAUCUGGUGGGCAGAAUUUCGAAAUCAGUUACGUUUCGUCAGAUGGCAUGACUCUCGUGUCCCCAAUUCCGCGCUGAGCCCUAGCGGAUCUGUAGCUGUCUUGCCGGCGAUUUCGAAGGAGGGGGUGGAUCUGGGGCCGUCGCUGCCGGACGACGUGCUCGCGGGCGUCCUCCGUCGCCUCGCGCCACGCGGCCUCGCCGCGUCCCGCUGCGUCUGCAAGGCGUGGCGACGUGUCGUCGACGACCGCUGCCUGCUGCGCGCGGACCUCCUGCCGCUCUCGCUGGGCGGCAUCUUCCUCAACUUGCAUGACCUACGUUUCACGCAGUUUCUCUCUCGCCCCACGACGGGCGCCGUAGUCUCCGGCCGGCUUGACUACACGGUGCCUGGUGAGCACGGCUUCAUGCCCCCCGUCUACGUCAGGGAUCACUGCAAUGGCCUCCUCUUGCUCGACCACUGCGUGGUGAACCCCGCCACACAGCAGUGGGCGCCCUUGCCCCCACUCCCGCCAUUGCCCGACCCUCUCCACACGGAGCAGUACCUUCUGUUUGACCCCACCCUGUCACUCAACUAUGACUUGUUGAUAGUGCCUGAUAUUCCUUCCGAGCUGAACGAUGAAUGUGAGGAAUCUGAAUGGCCGCCGUCCACCUUGAUACUACAUGUCUUUUCAUCAGAGACUGGUUCUUGGGAGGAGAGGACAUUCCUACGGGAAGGGGAGGCUGCGGGGAUGUUAGCUGACAUGGUUGGGUCAAGAGGACAUUCCUUCGUGCGUAGAUGGGGUUAUUUCGUGCGUCAAUGUGGCUACUGGCGGGGAGAACUCUAUAUAUGCUGCGAGAACUUUUUUGUUAUGAGGUAGAUGUAUAUGCUAACUCCUUAAACAUUGUCAUUCUGGUUCUGGUUUUAAGUUAUGAUAAGAUUAUUUAUAAUUUUAUCAUCAU
rnacentral:lncRNA from 1 species